GCUUCAGACAGCAAACUCCCUGACUCGCAACAGGCUUACGACUUUUCUCUCACUGCGACUACAGCAGCAUUUGCCGGAGCAGAUAUCAUUUUUGGCAUAG
rfam:Desulfobulbaceae bacterium S3730MH12 k99_152053, whole genome shotgun sequence.